GAAAUGCGAUACGUAAUGUGAAUUGCAGAAUUCAGUGAAUCAUCGAGUCUUUGAACGCACAUUGCGCCCCCUGGUAUUCCGGGGGGCAUGCCUGUCCGAGCGUCAUUGCUGCCCUCAAGCACGGCUUGUGUGUUGGGCCCCCGUCCCCCCCCCAAGGGGACGGGCCCGAAAGGCAGCGGCGGCACCGUGUCCGGUCCUCGAGCGUAUGGGAAGCAACUUUUUGUCACCCGCUCCUGUAGGUCCGGUCGGCGGCCUGCCCAACCCCAACCUUUUUUUCAACCAGGUUGACCUCGGAUCAGGUAGGGAUACCCGCUGAACUUAAG
rnacentral:misc_RNA from 1 species